GUUUUACUUCCUCUGUCUAACAAAAGAUGUAUUGAUUUUGACUAAAUUUGAAUGCAUCUAUACACUAAGUCAUGUGUAACAUUCAAAUUUUGACAAACUUGAGACAUCUUUUGUUGGACGGAGGGAGUAGGUA
rfam:Brachypodium distachyon strain Bd21 chromosome 3, whole genome shotgun sequence.